GCAGUACCCUGCUCGCUGAGCCGUCUAGGGUACACCCAUACUGAGCCGACGAGAGUGCAUGAAGCGAUCGGCUUUAUGGCGCGUACCCUAUGCGGCGAGGCAUGAGCGGGGAUACUGU
rnacentral:pre_miRNA from 1 species